UUUUAGUACAGUUUGAAAUCAGAGAGUGUGAUACCUCCAGCUUCGUUCUUUUUUCUCAGGAUUCCUUUGGCUUUUGGCCCUAUCACAAAACGGCCAACAAGCGGUGACCGCGGACGAGUCCGUUCUCAGGGUUUCUAUUUCCUCAUCUCUCCAAUGGGGGUGGUCACACUUGCUCUGCCAACAUUACAAGGUUUGUCAGCAUAAGCCAGAGAUAAGGAACGUGAACAACAUAAAGUGAUAAAGAAAUAAAAAAACAGCAGCAGUGGUUGCUAACAUUUAGAUACAAGAGAAGGAAAAGAUACCGACGUGAAACAGCCAACUCAGGCUCCGAGGCGUUCCGUUUCUAUUGAUUCCCUUCCCUGGCCCCAACCACCUUCAGCUUCCUUUAGGGACACCCUCCGUUCUGCAUGGAGAAAGCCCCUCCCAGUAAAGUGAGUCUUCCUCUUUGUAGCACCGGCAGCUUGGAACCUGCUGGAAGCGUGUUGUGAAAAUGAGCAGAAACCUGCUAGAAGCUAAAAUUCAGCUUCCGCACGAUCAGCCCCGGGCCAGCGUGUGCAGCGCCUCCCCGCGAGGCAGCGGGGGCUGACUGGCAGAUAUUGCCUGAACGCUCAUUAAUCAAAAGAGGCUUUCGCCCCGGACGCCCCUGGGUCUUGGGCAGAAAGAGACUCGGCUGCGGAGGUGUCAGGGCUGGGAGCUUCGAGGCCCUCCCCGCUCCCAGCAAGCGGCCGCGGCGUUAAAUCUGACGCUCCCGCCCGGGUAGAGAAGGGAUCGAUGAUGUCCUGGAUGCGGGUUUCCAGGGAAGAUGCUCCUCGCGGUCCCGCGCCUGCUCGGGAAGACGCCCGAGCGCUGGGCACGCCGCCCCGGAGCCGCGCCGCGCGCGUCUGCAACGCCGAGCCGCCUCCCAGCCCUUUUUACCCAAUUUGCCUUCCUGCCGCAGUCCGGGCCCAAAUUAGCUCUCUUCAUUUGUGAGUGAGCACCCACAAGUUCCCCGGGCACGAUCCUUCCAUCUGUUCCCCGGGGGGAGUCCAGUUUUUCAACGAUUAACCUCCCAGCCACGGGGCGGAGGGAAGGUGGCGGGAUGAAGGGAGUGGGGCGGGGAGAGGCAUUUUGCUUGUUCAAGGGCACCGAAAUUAGCUGCCGACGCUAAAAAGGUGUGCUUCCUUCGGUUUUUGGCAAACAAAUGCAGUGGGAUGCCUGCUUGGCCGACCGCUGCCCCGGCCCGGAGCCCCGGGCUCACUUGGCAGCCUGCUGCUGAGUUUCAGACCGCAGUCCUGCUUAGCGUCCGCGGGGCUUCGCACCUUGCCAAAGUCUGCAGAUGGAUGGAUGCUGGGCGCAGGCUUUCCCUGGGCAGGUUCACGUUGGCUUAGGCCAAAGCCCCAAACCUUCCACCUUGCGCCUCCUGUUUGUCUGCCCGCCACGCACCCCCCGCCCCCACCACCAAAGGACGUGCCCCUUUGGUAGUGUCGGGGCUCCAGCCGGAGCGAGGGGGAGGGCGCCUCCCUAUCCCCUCCUCCUCAUCCCCGCCGCGGCUCGGGGUUUUACUGCAGCAGCCGGAGGUGACAGCGACGCCUUAGCCUCCUCCGUAGCUCUCAGAGCCCCGGCUUUCCCUGCAUCCGGAAAGCGUCCCCUCCUGAGAGGCUGGUCCCCGAAGAAGUGGAAACGAGCUGCAGAAAACCCAAUUUAAAAAUGUAGAAGUCGCUGGGCUGCAUUCCUCCGAGGACGAGCCUGAUCGCCCAGGACUGAGAGUGGCAGCGUGUGGGAAGUUGGGACCGUAGAGCAAGGGGGGAGGGGACUGGUGCAGCCGGCAUUCUCUUCUGCAAGGAGUCGCUGGGAGCAGUGCGGUUGGACGCAAGUUUGCGUGGGAGUGUUUUCCUUUUGUCAAUAAUUAAUCACCGGAAUCAGUCUGGCAGAAUUGGAGUUUUAGCAGUAGUGCAGAGGGCGGGGCCGAACACCUAACUCCAGGAGGCACCCAGGCGCCCAGCGCAGUGGGAAGCUCGCAGCCGCUGGGGAGGAGCCAAGCGUCGGUGCUCACCUAAGACGCAAGAUGUACCCAGCCGAGAGAUGAAGAAACAGCCACCUAGAAAGGAGAAGUAGCCCGCAUAGGAUCAUUCUGCAGAGGAGCAAGGACCAGAAACCAGACCUGGACCCUCCUAGGCAGGAUUCCACCCAGGAUAACACCUUAUGUUUAGCUGUCAUGUCUCCUUAGGCUCCUCUGGGCUGUGACAGUUUUUCACACUUUGCUCGUUUCUGAUGACCUGGAGAGUUUUAAGGAGUCCUGAUCAGCAGGCGGGACACUUUCCUCACUCCCCAGGUUUUCACGUUCCAAAUAUGAAGCACAGAAAGAGCUGAGUGAUUGACAUGGAAUCCCAAAGCCUUAGGAUCCUGGGUCUCCACGUAGCCUGAGGAGUAAGGAGAACGCGCACAGGACGGACUUUCUGC